rnacentral:rRNA from 1 species
UACGAAGGGGGCUAGCGUUGCUCGGAAUCACUGGGCGUAAAGCGCACGUAGGCGGAUUGUUAAGUCAGGGGUGAAAUCCUGGAGCUCAACUCCAGAACUGCCUUUGAUACUGGCGAUCUCGAGUCCGGGAGAGGUGAGUGGAACUGCGAGUGUAGAGGUGAAAUUCGUAGAUAUUCGCAAGAACACCAGUGGCGAAGGCGACUACCUGGCCUGUUCUUGACGCUGAGGCGCGAAAGCUAGGGGAGCAAACGGG